GGACACUGAGGCACCGCGAGGUGGCUUGCCUAAGGUCACAGAGCCAAGCCAGCAUCCAGGAAACACCAUCCUGAGAGUCCCAAAUCUUAAAUCACAGUCCAGACGCCAGAACUGGAAGAGACUUUAGACACCAUCUGGAGUCCACGAUCCUCAAACUUCAAUGACUAGAGGAGCCGGCUGCGGUGUGGGGGAAACACGAAGCUGGAGUCUGCAGCCCAGGGGCUGGCUGCUUUAACAUGUGUCCUGCUGACCCUCAUGCAGAAGUUCUAGGACCCCACCUCAGGAAAUGCUGGUCCAGUCUCAUGGCCCCAUUUGCCAGGGGCUGACAGGGAGGCCCCCAGAGACUUCUGGACUGGGCGCAUGGGUAUGCACAGAGGAAGGCCAGGUGAGGACACAAGACGGUGGCCAAGGAGAAAGCUAUCACCAGACAUCAACUUGGACAGCAACUUAUCUUGGACUUUCAGCCCCAAGAAAAGAAUUUUUUGUUGUUGAAACUGUCCACCUGCAGUAUUUUGUUAGGACGGCCCAAGCUAACACAGUGGCCAUGACCCAGGCCACCCCUCACUUUCCCCUCCAGGUGUUUUGUCCCUUUCUUCCCCUGGAGAGGUUUUGGCUUGUCCUCUGUAGGCCUGUUCUAUGGCCCCAUCCUCCACAGAGUCGGCCCUGGGGAAUGUAAAGGGCCCUAGGGUCUGCUCACUGUUUGGAGAAUAGUGGGUCCCUGGGCUGAUGUCUCCUGGCCCUGCAGCCCCCUGAGACCCAGGGAAGCACAAGUCUCUCCAGCACAUGAAGGUUUAUGCAUGAGGUGGGUUUAGCUGUGUCUCACACUGGCCUACACAUUCAGGGCCUGAGCUUCACCAGGAUCCUGCUCCCUGCACAGGGGAGAUGGGAGGCUUGACCACAAAGUACCACACUGGCCUCCAUGACAAACCUUGUGCCACAGCUGUGGGAGCAUGGCCAGCCCUGGUCCACUUCCCUGGGCUUCAGGCCUUGUUCUGGGGAGCAGUUAGUGCAGCCUCAUCAGGAUGCUCACUUAGAGCCAGUGUCCUGCUGGGCCUGGGCCCUUCUCUGCCUAGGAGGAUGUAAUGGGCCUUAGGUCACAGGACCCAAUGCCCCCCAGGUGGGCUGUGGGGACCACAGGGCAUCCUAGAAACAGGCAUGCACAGCAGCGGCUUCAUGGCAGGUGAGUGUUCUUGUCAAGUGUCCUUGGGGAGAGGGGGAGAGAAGUCUACCAAUUACACAGCCACUCACAUGAGAACUUGAGUCUGCGCCAAAUGAAAAACAGAUUUCAUGUGGCAAGUGGCACCAACAACUUUUCCGGAAAGCAACUGUGUAUUUACACGUUGGCUGCCUUUUACGUUACAGAGGGGAAGGCAAGAGCAAUGUGCG